AGAGUAGUCACAGUUCUGCAGGCCAGAAGGAAUGAAACACUUGGACCAUCUCGUCUCAUUGUUGGACACCACGGGCCAUAGAAUUUCAGCCAGCGAUUUCUGCAUUUUGUGCUGCAGCUAGACAACACUUUCUGGGCAACUACCCAAGCAUCAAGUCUUGCAGCAGACAUCACAACCUUGGGCAUAGAAGCUUAAUGGGGGAAGACUCUGUUUCAGUAUUACAAAUUAUAUCCACCAACCACUCAGCGUCUGCAAUGUGUGGAUGUGCUUGUUCUCCUGCUAUCCUCUUGGGGUUAAUUGAAUAUCACAUUUCAAAGCCACUUUGAUGGAUUUACCGAAGUGCAAUACAAUAAAACUAUCACAAUGUUUUUCCACGCAAUGAAGCAAAUGCAGUUCAGACUCAGAGAGGAGAAGGGUGAAGGAAAUAGGUUCUGGAUGCAAUCGUGGUGCCUUGGAGGUUGAGCCAUGGAACACAGAUCUUUCUGCUUGGCAGCUGAGCUUCCAUGCUCUACUUCAAAUGAAAGCAAAGAACAGCUUCAAAGACUGCAUCCACAGCAAAGUUUCCCCAGCAUCAAAGGUGUAGACAGGCCCUUACCAAGAUGCACAUCAGUCUUGACAUCCAGACUGCAGUGAGGCUUUCCUGGGAUCUAAUCAGGAUAUGCAUGAAAGAAAGAAAUGAAGCAGAAGUCUUGCCAGGAUUUAGAUGCUGGAUUUGGGGGUUUACAGUUCCUGUAGGAAACUCACGAUGGAAGUAAAUAUUAUAGGAUACCCUUGGUGAUAUCUUUCAGUAUCUAAAGGGGAGCUACAAGAAAUAAGGGGUCUUUAGCAGGGUCUGUGUUGAUAGGACAAAGGAGAACGGUUUCAAACUUAAAGAGGGGAUAUUUAGGUUGGAUAUAAGGAAAAAGUCUUUUACAGUGAGAGUGGUGAGGCACUGGCACAGGUAUCCCAGAGAUGUGGUUGAUUCCCUGUCCCUGGACAGUUUCAAGGCAAGGCUGGAUUGUAGAAUCAUAGAAUCAUAGAAUGGUCUGGGUUGAAAAGGACAACAAUGCUCAUCUAGUUUCAACCCCCUGCUAUGUGCAGGGUCACCAACCACUAGAACCACUGGAUCAGGCCCUGGGCAACAUGAUCAAGCUUUGGUGUCCCUGUGCAUUGCAGGUGAGUUGGACUAGGUGACCUUUAAAAAUCCCUUCCAACUUUAAGGAAUCUAUAAUUCUGUGACUCUAUGAUAUUUCACUGAAUAUAUUUAUUUUAUAUGCUCAAACUAUAUGUCAAGCCUGCUCCCAAGUUCAGGUAUGAGCUCUGAUGAGGUGGUUAAAGGAUGGUCCGUGCUAUAGUAGCUCCUUAUCCAGGCUGUGAACUCCUUGCUUCUGGUUUAAAGAAGAGGUGUGAUGCAGCUGAGAGGAGACUGAGAAGCUGCUAUUAAUAAUUUCUUGGCUGCUGACUCUCUUGCUUUCUUAUCACGUGGGUAUCUGAAUGGAUCCUCAGGAUAAGUAAAGCUGUCUGAAAGACAGUGUAUGCCUUCUCCUUUGCAGUAAUAAUUUGACAGUUUAUAUGAGGGUCCCAUGAUCAUCUCCUUUCAUAUUUUCCGAGACCCAAUAGGGCAAGUUAGCCUGCAACGAUGUGGAGAAGGAUGAGUGAAAUGGAUCGGUGAAUUUCACCCAUACACUCUAUGUAUGUUAGCUCUCAUCUUUAUCUUGAGAAUAGUAGCACAGGAAUAUCUCCAAAAGUGACAAAAAACAUCACCUAGGAUAUGUUGGUUACCAUCACAAGCUGAGAAUGGGAGAAAUGAAGCAGUGAUCUAAGAGGGAAUGGGGGUAAAAGCAUCAAUACGGUGAUGUGCACAGCCUAUGUCCAGGUGGACCACCACCCUUAGCAGUGUUUGCCACAUGGCAACAAAAAGGGCACAGGGCCACAUGUUGACUCUGUUGUAAUCAAUUGCAUGUGCAAUAGGUGGGACAUUAUUUUCUUUUCCAUUACUGCAAGCAUAGCCACAGAUCUGAUAUGCAGGGCGUCAACUCAUUUCCUGUAGUGUUUUUUUAAAGUGGUCCCAUAGAAGACCUGGUCUGGUGGUUGGCAACCCUGCACAUAGCAGGGGGGUUGAAACUAGAUGAGCAUUAUGGUCCUUUUCAACCCAGGCCAUUCUAUUAUUCUAUGAAAACAUGGUAGUCAUGUACCUUACAUACUCAAUAUGAUAUUCAGGGAUACGUGUCCAGCCCAUUAUACCCCAGUGGAUUUAAUUAGAAACAGUGGAAGGGAAAAUAGGGUUUUUUUUUGACUGCAUGAGGAGCAAAAAGCAGCUGACAAUCUUAACUAUACUUGCUCUGCAAGUCUGGUAAGAGCAAAAGCCAGUGGCUCUGAGUGGGUACACAAAUAGGCAUGAAGGUUAAGAGAAUGCCUUUUCCUAUUUACAUUAAGGAACAAAAAUAGCUGCCUCUGAAUCAUCAUUACAAUGCAAUGAUAGCUUCAAAUGCAAGCAAGGGGAUACUGCAUCUCCAGGAUGUUAGAUAUGCAGGAAGAGCAGGCUAUACAGGAAUUCAUGCUUAAUGUGAAGGCAGUGAGAUGGACAUUACCACGGUAUGAGAUCUCCGCAUCUUCCACUUUCCUGAUUCUGGACAGUAAUCAGGAAUAUAUGAUUUUAAAGGAUGUUCAUCAGGUACAUUUGUAAUCAGUGACUAAUUGUAAGUAUCCUCAUAGUUAUGUACAGCAGAAGUAUGAUGUUUCCAGGUAAAGCUUAGUGGCUCUGGGCAGCUUGGUCUGGUGGUUGGCAACCCUGCACAUAACAGGGGGUUGAAACCAGAUGAUCACUGUGGUCCUUUUCAACCCAGGCCAUUCUAUGAUUAUGUGAUUCUGUGAUUCUAUGAUUCUAUGAUUCUAUGAUAUCCACAAGAACAUGAAACAAAAUUGAUUUAAGUGAGGCCAUUAGAGACAACAGAAGUGGGGAAGUUAAAGGCUUUUACUUUGUUUUCCAGUUCUUUUUGGUGCGUUAUUCUUCAACCAUAAAGUAUAAUAGGGAAAUUCCUGCUCUUGGGGAAUUUUUAUAGAGAAAUCUGAAUCUUGAAAGACAAUC
ensembl:lncRNA